UGAGCGUGAAGGAUAACGUUGCGUCAGCAACGGCCCGUAGGGCGAGGCGAAGCCGAGUCAUCCUGCACGACCCACCA
rnacentral:sRNA from 1 species